UACGAAGGGGGCUAGCGUUGCUCGGAAUCACUGGGCGUAAAGCGCACGUAGGCGGAUCGCUAAGUCAGGGGUGAAAUCCUGGAGCUCAACUCCAGAACUGCCUUUGAUACUGGCAAUCUCGAGUCCGGGAGAGGUGAGUGGAACUGCGAGUGUAGAGGUGAAAUUCGUAGAUAUUCGGAAGAACACCAGUGGCGAAGGCGGCUCACUGGCCCGGUACUGACGCUCAGGUGCGAAAGCGUGGGGAGCAAACAGG
rnacentral:rRNA from 1 species